GGUAGUAACACGUGGGUAACCUACCUAUAAGACUGGGAUAACUUCGGGAAACCGGAGCUAAUACCGGAUAAUAUUCGAACCGCAUGGUUCGAUAGUGAAAGGUGGUUUUGCUAUCACUUAUAGAUGGACCCGCGCCGUAUUAGCUAGUUGGUAAGGUAACGGCUUACCAAGGCGACGAUACGUAGCCGACCUGAGAGGGUGAUCGGCCACACUGGAACUGAGACACGGUCCAGACUCCUACGGGAGGCAGCAGGC
rnacentral:rRNA from 1 species